rnacentral:tRNA from 2 species
GCAGUCGUAGUUCAACCGGCAGAAUGGCAGACUUUUAAUCUGAAGGAUGAGGGUUCAAAUCCCUCCGGCUGUA